GGGAAUAUUGCAAAAUGGGCGAAAGCCCGAUGCAGCAACGCCGCGUGGGCGAUGAAGGCCUUCGGGUCGUAAAGCCCUUUUUGAGGGGAUGAGGAAGGACAGUACCCUCAGAAUAAGCCUCGGCUAACUACGUGCCAGCAGCCGCGGGAAAACGUAGGAGGCGAGCGUUAUCCGGAUUUACUGGGCGUAAAGGGCGUGCAGGCGGAUUGGAGAGUUGGAUGUGAAAGCCCCCGGCUUAACUGGGAGAGGUCGUUCAAUACUUCCAGUCUUGAGUGCAGGAGAGGGAAGUGGAAUUCCGGGUGUAGUGGUGAAAUGCGUAGAUAUCCGGAGGAACACCAGUGGCGAAAGCGGCUUCCUGGACUGUAACUGACGCUCAGACGCGAAAGCUAGGGUAGCAAACG
rnacentral:rRNA from 1 species